AUUGAACGCUGGCGGCAGGCCUAACACAUGCAAGUCGAACGGUAACAGGAAGCAGCUUGCUGCUUCGCUGACGAGUGGCGGACGGGUGAGUAAUGUCUGGGAAGCUGCCUGAUGGAGGGGGAUAACUACUGGAAACGGUAGCUAAUACCGCAUAAUGUCGCAAGACCAAAGAGGGGGACCUUCGGGCCUCUUGCCAUCGGAUGUGCCCAGAUGGUAUUAGCUUGUUGGUGGGGUAACGGCUCACCAAGGCGACGAUCCCUAGCUGGUCUGAGAGGAUGACCAGCCACACUGGGACUGAGACACGGUCCAGACUCCUACGGGAGGCAGCAGUGGGGAAUAUUGCACAAUGGGCGCAAGCCUGAUGCAGCCAUGCCGCGUGUAUGAAGAAGGCCUUCGGGUUGUAAAGUACUUUCAGCGGGGAGGAAGGGAGUAAAGUUAAUACCUUUGCUCAUUGACGUUACCCGCAGAAGAAGCACCGGCUAACUCCGUG
rnacentral:rRNA from 1 species